GAUGAAGAACGCAGCGAAAUGCGAUAAGUAAUGUGAAUUGCAGAAUUCAGUGAAUCAUCGAAUCUUUGAACGCACAUUGCGCCCGUCAGUAUUCUGGCGGGCAUGCCUGUUCGAGCGUCAUUACGCCCCUCAAGUCCCCUGUGGACUUGGUGUUGGGGAUCGGCGAGGCUGGUUUUCCAGCACAGCUGUCCCUUAAAUUAAUUGGCGGUCUCGCCGUGGCCCUCCUCUGCGCAGUAGUAAAACACUCGCAACAGGAGCCCGGCGCGGUCCACUGCCGUAAAACCCCCCAACUUUUUAUAGUUGACCUCGAAUCAGGUAGGACUACCCGCUGAACUUAAGCAUAUCAAUAAGCGGAGGA
rnacentral:misc_RNA from 1 species